UAAUACAUGGCAAGUUCGAGCGCAGGAAACUGACGGCAACUCUUCGGAGGGAAGUGCAGCGGAAUGGAGCGGCGGGACGGGUGCAGUAACACGGUAAGGAACCUGCCUCAAGGAUUGGGAUAACUCCUAGCAAAUCGGAGCUAAUACCGGAUAGUUCAUCGGACCGCAGGGUCCGUUGAUGAAAGGCGCUCCGGCGUCACCUUGAGAUGGCCUUGCGGUGCAUUACCUAGUUGGUGGGGUAACGGCCCACCAGGGCGACGAUGCAUAGCCGACCUGAGAGGGUGAUCGGCCACACUGGACUGAGACACGGCCCAGACUCCUACGGGAGGCAGCAGUAGGGAAUCUUCCACAAUGGACGAAAGUCUGAUGGAGCAACGCCGCGUGAGUGAUGAAGGUUUUCGGAUCGUAAAACUCUGUUGUAAGGGAAGAACACGUACGAGAGGAAAUGCUCGUACCUUGACGGU
rnacentral:rRNA from 1 species